UUCUGGCACCCAGGCUCUGCAUAUAAACCCAUGGUGCUCGAAACGGAGUUCCCCGGCAGCAAGUGGUUAAUGAAGAAAACUUGUGACAAGACUAGCAAUAAGUCCAUCAUACCAGCUUUCUGAACGGUUGAGGUAUUUUUUUAAUUAGGGCAUUACAAGAUCUGUGCAUUUUGUUUGCUUUAAAGAACAAAAUGCUUACAUUAAGAGAAAAUAAAAUGGAAAUAUUUGAAGAUACUCACUUUUGUGUUCCUUUGGAGAUUUUGCAUGGACUAUCUGCCAUUUCUUUGUAUAUUUUUUUUUGGAGGAUUUUUUUGCCGGAAGAGGAUGGAUCCAUUGUAUUGGAAGGGAUGAAGCAGUAAGUGGGGCCAGGUUUGAAGGCUUCCAGUAUUAAGUGUUGUGACAUCGUCAUCCACGGAUAAGUUUUGACAAAUUGACAUCACGCUCCCGUGUCUUUGCCGCUCAAUCGAUUGAGGGCAGCAUUACCUCCAAGAGUUUGCAUCACAGAUACGGUACAUCUAAUUGGUAUUGUAUAUUUUUUCUGUCAAUCCAUUCCUACUGACUACAUGCAUGUUCACUUUCUAUGGAUGUUUUUAUUUACUUUUUCCAGUAAAUUCAUAUCUGGGAAGACAUUUUGUAGAAAGGGCAAUAAAUUGUUUGAUCUUCUGAUCCAUUGUUAUCAGACCGGUCUGGUUUCUGUUUCCAAUCAGUGCCGUGGAUUGGAACAUUAGAAGUAUAAGAAACAGCAACCAAUCUAAAGUACUUUUAACCCAUCACACCACAGCUUUUUCAGAAGUAGGCCAUUCAUGUACAUAACAUGGAGACCUCGUUAGGCCUACCUGGUACCUGCACAGUGCAUGUGUGCUUCCAAAUUUCAGUUCCCCAGUUUUUGGGACUUCUUUCACUGAAGAAAUAGAAUGGUAUAAUGCAUUUGCCUUUAACUCUAAUGUUUUAUUUCUGCUCUAUGCAGCUAUUGUUAGUCAUGCCAGUGGGAGAAAGAGAAAGCUAGGGGUGGCUCGACUUCCAGAACUGCAAGGCACAUUGCAGGGUUGGUGCCUAGCAGUUCAGGAAGUAGUGGCUCGACUCCCAGAACUGCAAGACACAUCACAGGGUUGGUGCCUAGCAGUUCAGGAAGUAGUACUUGUAUGCCUAACGUCUGUGACCGUAUUGUCGCCAGGUCCCUAAUUUCGCCACUAGUGGUUUUCACAGUAAGUGGUGAAAUAAGGGACCUAGCAAGUACUACACCCAGGUAUACCAGUACCGUCAUUAACAUUACACUGUCUGAAAUUACAGUUCAAUCACACUGAAUUUCCAGCCAUGAUCUUCAGUUUUCCUCAUUGGCUGUGCUAGUAUGGCCAUGACUUCUAUAGUUCUAGGAAAUGACUUCAGUUUCAAUUCUUGUUUCCAGUAGGAAGUAAGGAUGAUUUGUGAUACCAGCGCUGUACCUGCUACCGUAAAUGGACAACAAAAAGGAAACAAGUUCUGAUGAGACCCUGACUGCUGAGGUAGCACCAAUUGCCAUUACACACAUUACAGUGCUGGCAAAAUGCCAAUUGAGGAAUUAGCCCUCGCCAGAGCUAACCAGAAUGAGGCCGAGGAUGACAACUCUCUGAAAGUCCUGCUCAUGACUACGACCCUCAAGAUGAUUCAACCAGCAAGUCACAUGAAUUAAUGGAUCCCUACCACUCUCUGGCGCGAUGACACUUCACCUCAGAGAUCUUCAAGAUUGAAAUUCAGAGCCCCCAGGCAUUUUGGAUUCGCAGUACAAUGCCAUCAUCAUAUCUUUCCCCCAGCUGCCAAGAAGAUAAGGAGGCUUUGAAAGUUCUUAACAGAUAAAAAUGGAAAAGACAAACACUGAAGGCUAAGACUGAAGAGCUCAUGCACUGUCUUCAUGACCUUUCCAUGCCAAGCCUGUCAAGGAUCUGUACACUGAGAGCAUUGCUCAGGAGAGGAGCCAAGAGGAAUCCGAGGAGAACAGCAAAGAGGCCAAGAAAAGCCAGGACUGGAGAGUUACCCCAACAAAUGUGUGAGUUCACCAUCGGGAAGAGUGUAGAUGGUAAAGAGUACUCAGCUGAUACUGUGACAAGUGUAAAGCAGCCCAAGAUGCAGCUGUAUGCAAUGGAAGUCCAAGAUACCGAAAAGCAGAGACUCCGCCGUCAUUUCCAGGAAGGAGAAGGGAAGCUGUGGAAGAGGGCCCAACUGACAUCAUUGUAGCCGAGGCUCAGGGGAGAAAGACUUUCUCAAGUUCAAGCCACGUACAGUUCUUCCAUGGACGGCCCAUCGCUGAACCGGAAUCCCUUUCCUUCCUUUUCCCCGGACGA